rnacentral:tRNA from 2 species
AUUUAUAUAGUUUAAUAAAACAUUACAUUUUCAUUGUAAAAUUAGAUUUUUAUCUUAUAAAUA